rnacentral:misc_RNA from 1 species
AAAAAAAAGGACUGGGAAAGAUGGCUUCUGCACAGGCUUGGAUUUGAUGCUGGAUCACGGAAAAAUAUUUCUUGUCCAAGUAAGACAAUUUGAAGGAUCUAGGUUAUGUUUGGGCUUGUCUUCUAUGUAUACUCAUGGCUGCUAAUAGUGUUGAAUCUUUGUGGUUAAUUUCUGAAUUUUAGAGAUUCCAUUUUUCCUGUUAUGCAUUCAACUCUAAACAUUGAUAUCACAC